UGCAACUGGUGUUUGCAGUGGGGGCA
rnacentral:piRNA from 1 species